rnacentral:lncRNA from 1 species
UCCCACUUCUUGCCUCUCUUGUCUCAGCGUCCUCUCUGCCCUCAUAUCCCCACCCCCAUUCAUUCAUGACACACAGUACACACGCACACACACCACACACAAAACACACGCCACACACACACACCACACACACACACACACACCACACACAAAACACACGCCACACACACACACACCACACACACAACACACACACACACACAAAACACAUGCCACACAUACACACACACACACACACACACACCACACACAAAACACACGCCACACACACACACACCACACACACAACACACACACACAAAAAACACAUGCCACACACACACCACACACACACACACACACCACACACAAAACACACGCCACACACACACACACCACACACACAACACACACACACACAAAACACAUGCCACACACACAACACACACACACACAAAACACACGCCACACACACAACACACGCCACACACACACACCACACACACACACACACACACACACACAAAACACACACCACACACACACCCCCCACACACACAACACACACACACAAAACACACGCCACACACAACACACACACACACAAAACACACGCCACACACACAACACACACACACACACAAAACACACGCCACACACACACACACACCAUAGACACACACCACAGACACACACCACAAACACACACACACCACAAACACUACACACACCACAGACAGUACACACACCACACAUACAUACACCACACAUACACACACCACACACACACACCACAAACACACACACACCACAAACACUACACACACCACAGACAGUACACACACCACACAUACAUACACCACACAUACACACACCACACACACACACCACACACACACAAUAUACACACACCACACACACACACACCACACACACACACCACACACACACCACACACACACAUCACAGACACACACAUACCACACACACUACACACACCACAGACACUACACACACCACACACACACACACCACACACAAAACACAUGCCACACACACACCACACACACACACACUACACACACCACACACACACAGAACACACACACCACACACACACCACAAACACACACACACCACACACACUACACACCACACACACUACACACACCACAGACACACCACACACACAAAACACACGCCACACACACACACACCACACACACACACACCACACACACACACCACACACACACACAUACCACACACACUACACACACCACAGACACUACACACACCACACAUACAUACACCACACAUACACACACCACACACACACACACCACACACAAAACACAUGCCACACACACACCACACACACACACACCACACACACACACACCACACACACUACACACACCACACACACUACACACACCACACACACUACACACACCACAGACACACCACACACACACACACCACACACACACUGAUCUCCAGGAGGGGAAGGUGCUCUUCCAUGUUUGUCCUCAUCUCUAUCUGCCCCUAGUGCC